UGCAUCGAUGAAGAACGCAGCGAAAUGCGAUACGUAGUGUGAAUUGCAGAAUUCCGCGAAUCAUCGAGUCUUUGAACGCAAGUUGCGCCCGAGGCUUGUCCGAGGGCAUUUCCGCUAGAGCGUCACCGCGCCCCCCACCGAUCCACUCUCGCCGCGAGGCGCCAGUCGGGUCGAGUGCAAGUGGCCGUCCCGGUGGAGCGGCCUCCUUUCACGAGGAGGCCGUACUCAGAAGGGUCGGCUGAAAUGGAUGGAAUCGGGCCGCCGUGGUGACACAGUCCGCGAUCGGGUGAUUUUGUCUCGAGCCUCCUUCGGGAGGUUCUUGGUGAAUUUUUCUAAGUGCUUGGCUGCGUCCCCCAGUUGGCUCGGGUUACCUCAUGCAGGUCGAGCGCGCCCCCGCGGCGCGCGUCACGCAUCAGACCUCUAAUCGGAAAAGACUACCGCUAGCU
rnacentral:rRNA from 1 species